rnacentral:rRNA from 1 species
UACGUAGGGUGCGAGCGUUGUCCGGAAUUAUUGGGCGUAAAGCGCACGUAGGCGGUUUGUUAAGUCGGAUGUGAAAUCCCUCGGCUCAACUGAGGAAGUGCAUCCGAAACUGGCAGGCUUGAGUACUAAAGAGGGUCGCGGAAUUCCCGGUGUAGAGGUGAAAUUUCGUAGAUAUCGGGAGGAACACCGGUGGCGAAGGCGGCGACCUGGGUAGAUACUGACGCUGAGGUGCGAAAGCGUGGGGAGCAA